rnacentral:lncRNA from 1 species
AGAGGCCUACCGGGGGUGCCCCGGCAGAGGCCCUCCGACGCUCAAGUCAGAUUUUAUGGCUCAGAGUAGUAUAUUUAGGCAAGGGUUACAGAAAGAAUAAAAAUGGUGUCCAGGAAGGAGAAAGAAGAAGAAGAGAGCCCCCCUUCUGCGUGGCCUCUACCGUGAUAUAUAUAUCUGUCUCUCUGCCACAAUGCUAGCUGUCUUCUGCCGCUUAGCUCCGUAUGUACGGAUGUGUCAGGCGCCUGCUCCAUGCGUAACGACCAUUAAUUAUCCUCUGAUACGUAUGAUUCUCCUCUGAUACGCAUGCGGAAGGACCUACCAGCGGGGCAUCUUGGUUAUUUUCCCCUUUCCGGGCUAGGUUGAAUGGUAGGGCUGAAG